AUUGAACGCUGGCGGCAGGCCUAACACAUGCAAGUCGAGCGAGCGGCGGACGGGUGAGUAAUGUCUGGGAAACCGCCUGAUGGCGGGGGAUAACUACUGGAAACGGUAGCUAAUACCGCAUACCAUCAGAUGUGCCCAGAUGGGAUUAGCUAGUAGGUGGGGUAACGGCUCACCUAGGCGACGAUCCCUAGCUGGUCUGAGAGGGUGACCAGCCACACUGGAACUGAGACACGGUCCAGACUCCUACGGGAGGCAGCAGUGGGGAAUAUUGCGCAAUGGGCGCAAGCCUGAUGCAGCCAUGCCGCGUGUGUGAAGAAGGCCUUCGGGUUGUAAAGCACUUUCAGCGGGGAGGCGUUACCCGCAGAGAAAGCACCGGCUAACUCCGUGCCAGCAGCCGCGGUAAUAC
rnacentral:rRNA from 1 species